GAUGAACGCUAGCGGCAGGCCUAAUACAUGCAAGUCGAGGGGCAGCGCGGUAGCAAUACUGGCGGCGACCGGCGCACGGGUGCGUAACACGUAUGCAACCUACCUUCAACUGGAGGAUAGCCCGGGGAAACUCGGAUUAAUACUCCAUAACACAGGGAUCCCGCAUGGGAAUAUUGUUAAAGCUACGGCGGUUGAAGAUGGGCAUGCGUUCGAUUAGCUAGUUGGUGUAGGUAACGGCUCACCAAGGCUACGAUCGAUAGGGGGUCUGAGAGGAUGAUCCCCCACACUGGUACUGAGAUACGGACCAGACUCCUACGGGAG
rnacentral:rRNA from 1 species